GACGAACGCUGGCGGCGUGCUUAACACAUGCAAGUCGAACGGAAAGGCCCUGCUUUUGUGGGGUGCUCGAGUGGCGAACGGGUGAGUAACACGUGAGUAACCUGCCCUUGACUUUGGGAUAACUUCAGGAAACUGGGGCUAAUACCGGAUAGGAGCUCCUGCUGCAUGGUGGGGGUUGGAAAGGUUCGGCGGUUGGGGAUGGACUCGCGGCUUAUCAGCUUGUUGGUGGGGUAGUGGCUUACCAAGGCUUUGACGGGUAGCCGGCCUGAUAGGGUGACCGGCCACAUUGGGACUGAGAUACGGCCCAGACUCCUACGGGAGGCAGCAGUGGGGAAUAUUGCACAAUGGGCGGAAGCCUGAUGCAGCAACGCCGCGUGCGGGAUGACGGCCUUCGGGUUGUAAACCGCUUUCGCCUGUGACGAAGCGUGAGUGACGGUAAUGGGUAAAGAAGCACCGGCUAACUACGUG
rnacentral:rRNA from 1 species